rnacentral:snoRNA from 1 species
ACCAAGCAGUGAUGAUGGCGACUAUAUGUCACUUUCCUGAAAAUGAGUGAUGGGUUUUAAGUCACUACCUCAUCUGAGCUUGGU